rnacentral:rRNA from 1 species
UACAGAGGGGAGCAAGCGUUAUUCGGAAUUAUUGGGCGUAAAGGGCGCGUAGGCGGCUUGGCAAGUGGAAGGUGAAAUCCCGUCGGCUUAACCGAGGAACUGCCCUCCAAACUGCUUUGCUUGAGGCCGGGAGAGGUGAGGUGGAAUUCCCAGUGUAGCGGUGAAAUGCGUAGAUAUUGGGAGGAACACCAGUGGCGAAGGCGGCUCACUGGACCGGUUCUGACGCUG